CCUACGGGUGGCAGCAGUGAGGAAUAUUGGUCAAUGGGCGCGAGCCUGAACCAGCCAAGUAGCGUGAAGGAUGACUGCCCUACGGGUUGUCAACUUCUUUUAUUAAGGAAUAAAGUGAGGCUCGUGUGCCUUUUUGUAUGUACUUUAUGAAUAAGGAUCGGCUAACUCCGUGUCAGCAGCCGCGGUAAUACGGAGGAUCUGCGCGUUAUCCGUCUUUAUUGGGUUUAAAGGGAGCGUAGAUGGGGUGUUAAGGCAGUUGUGAAAGUUUGCGGCUCAACCGUAAAAUUGCAAUUGAUACUGGCAGCCUUGAGUACAGUUGAGGUAGGCGGAAUUCGUGGUGUAGCGGUGAAAUGCUUAGAUAUCACGAAGAACUCCGAUUGCGAAGGCAGCUUACUAAACUGCCACUGACAUUGAUGCUCGAAAGUGUGGGUAUCAAACAGGAGGAGAUACCCGUGUAGUC
rnacentral:rRNA from 1 species